rnacentral:tRNA from 1 species
GGGGAUGUGGCUCAAGUGGUAGAGCACUCGCCUUGCAUGCGUGCGGCCCGGGUUCGAUCCUCAGCACCA